UUCGCACCCUGGGGUACUACAGUUACAUAUUUACUGUUUACAAGGUAAUUUUGCCUAAUUAAAAAAAAAAAUUAAAAAAUGAAAUAAUCACACAAACCCAGCACUCAAACCUGCAUCUUGUCCCGUUGAUUCAGGGAUGUGCCUUAUGUGCCUUGAGGCAGACCAAGCAAAACAAUGCUGCACAGAAGACAUUGCAGACCAAGGCAGUAGUUGCUCAAAUUUAUUUUCUUUUAAAAAAUGUGCGUGAAAGGAGAUGGGGGAGGGCGGAAGGGAAUAUUUAUCAGAAUACCAGAAGACACCUUUCUUGAAACAAAGGCAAGGGGAAUCAUCUCUAUUGCAAAUCUAUCAAGCAGAGAGCAAAUAACAAUAUUUAUAGUCGGACAUUCACAAAUACAAUGUGCUUAAAUAACAACAAAUGCUUACUACAGUUGCUACAGCGUAGCUUAAUAAAAAUUAGCCUUACUUGACAGUCUUGUCAACAUCUUAAGUAAAUUAUCAUAGCGAUGGUCUUUGGAGAAGAAAACCCACACUCCUUGCUAAAACACCUCCUAUCAUUAAUCUUAAACCACUUGAAGAUUAUGAUGGAAAGAAUGGGAUCAGUAACCAUUAUCAUCUCAAAUUGCUGUUAAAAACUCCGCUGUUUAUUUUUGCAACAAAAGCGAAUGUAUCUGGGAAAUGCAGAAAGGGGAAGAAAGGAAAACACAAGAAAGGCAGAACAAUUGAGGCGAAUCCUGUUGCAACCUCGAUGAUAAACACAUGGAAAAAGCUGUUACUGCUCUGCGGAUUGCUGGAAUUUGGGUAGACGUUAGAAAAAUAAACAAAGUGAUGACUCCGCACCAGGUCUGUAAAUGCACUGCUACACUCAAAAAAAACCAAACAAAAAAAAGGAUUUGUCAGAGAAAGGAAAAUCUGCUGAUUUAGGGACACUCGACCUGCAUGUUAUCAACGGAUCUUUACACCUUCAAUGGAUCCGCAAAUCGAUGUGAGGCAGCAAAAUGCUGGGUUUAGAAGACUGCGAGCCAGUUUCCUGCAUACUACUAUAAUUAAUUUGCGUGCGGAGAUCAAAGAUCCGAGGGUGAAGGAAAUAAUUGAUUCUGCCAGAAAACGCUUCCCUGGCGCAGCCCACGGCAGGUAAGCUGCUGCGUGGAACUAUUUUUGACGGAACAAAAGCCUGAGCAAACACCUGACGUCAGGGAGCAGCGUUCCCGGGGGAG
rnacentral:lncRNA from 1 species